GUUCUCACUUUGGCAGCACAUAUACUAAAAUUGGAAAGAUACAGAGAAGAUUAGCAUGGACCCUCUGCGAGGAUGACAUGCAUAUUUGUGAAGUGUUCCAUAUUUUU